CUGUUUUUGCGGGUUUGUUUGGCAAUGGGACACUCCCGGGCUUGUCUUCGGUUUCUGUUUUUCUGAUGGCGAAUUAUAUCAUGAUCGAGUAACUGUCUGAGGUGAUCAACUCGAUUUAUAGGCUGCAUCCCAUUGGCACGUCGAAAAUCGUGGAUGUGAAUCAUCUCUAGUUUUGUUCCAACAGGUGUUUCUUCCCCCUGUGAAAUCUCUGCCAAGAAAAUGAUCACAAAAAACAAGAAAAUGAAGAGAAAAGAACCUCUCUGCAGCCUAUACAUUUCCAUUUUUCACACUAGUGCUUAAUUUAGAGGUGAAAUGAGGAAGCAAGAUGUGGAUGCCAAGUAAAGUUGAAUGAUAAAAUUGUAAGGUAGGAUGAGAUAUAUAUAAUAUAUGCAUAGAAUAUAUUCGUUGGUCUCUCUCUUGAAGCAGUUUGGUCCAGC
rnacentral:lncRNA from 1 species